UCUUCCCUCAGGGCGCGCUGGAAGACAUAGGUCAUAGGUACCCCAUGCACGGGGCUGGCCCGUCCCUAUCGUCUUCAAAAGCAGACGUCUCCCAAGCUUGGACCCCUGACUUUUCCAGCAGUGGGAGCUCCUUCGCUCCUUUCUGGGUUUUCUAAACAGCGGUGAGUCCCUGGCUGCUGAGGAGCAGGCAAGUGAGGCAGCGUGGCUCAAACUUGUGGACCUCAGGAACCCUUUAGGUCAGUGGUCCUCAACGUUCCUACCGCUGGGACCCUUUAACACAGUUCCUCAUGCUGUGGUGACCCCAACCCUAAGUUAUCUUUAUUGCUCAUCGUAACUGUAAUUUUGCUACUGUUAUGAAUUUUAAUGUAAACAUCUGUGUUUCCUGAUGGUCUUAGGGGAAAUCCCGUGAGAGGGUCAUUCGACCCGAAGGGGGCGCGGCCCACAGAUUGAGAACCGCUGCUUUAUGCGCAACCAUCACGGAGAAGGACCUCAGAGUGGAUGGCCUGGCUGUGUGGGUUUUACCUCUCAACAUUUACCAAUUUAGGAGUGAAAAUUGAGAAUCUAGAAGAUAGUUACUUCUUAUAAUAAUACAUGUGGGUUUAUUUAGAAAAAUAUAGUUUGUGGAACCAAAAAUGUUAAGUAUAGUACUAUUUUACAUUUGUGCCAAUUUUUUUUUUCUGUCUAGCUUAAUAAACGACAGAUGGAGUUGCCUGUUUGUUUCUGCAUUUGCUCUGCUGUGACAGUGGCCGAGUUUUCCCGAAGCACUUCGCUUUAUACCCGUAAGGGGAGGACAAGAGAGGACAGAGCAAACCCAUCCUAUUAUGAAGACGGUUUCGGCCUUGCAUGCCCCUGCCCCUUUUGAUAUGAAUGGCACCCGGUGUUAUUUCCGGAUAAGAACAGAGAUGCUGUCUUAUGUAGGAAAGGGAUGCCUUUAUUUUGUCUUUUUUUUUUUUUUUUUCAGAGCUGAGGACCAAACCCAGGGCCUUGCGCUUGCUAGGCAAGAGCUCUACCACUGAGCUAAAUCCUCAACCCCGAAGCGAUGCCUUUAAUGGAGGCCGAAGACCAAAGGUGUGUACCACGCAGAGCGGAGCGUGAUGGUGCUCGGGAGCAGGACAAGUGGAUCCCCUCAGUAUAAUCUUGGACUCCGGAUCAAGACAGCAUCUCAAAAAGAACACAGGUCAGAAAGCUAGCUUUCCUGUUAAUUCCCUCUCGGGCACCAAUGCUGACUGAUCAUAUUGAUUAUCUGAGCAAAUUCCUAAUAAUGCUGAUUCCUCGGCCACUUUGGAUCAACUCAGGGCCAGAACCUGACUUUUAAAGCCCUCAGCUGUUCUGAUACCCCAAGUCAUGAGCCUGGGGCCUCAUCUCUCUCCAUCGGUCAACUCAACUAAAACCUCUGUUCUCAGACUCUAUGGCAUCACCUGAGGCACAUUUAAAAACUUGAAUUUCUGAAGCUGGACGGAUUGCUCAGUGGCUAAAGAGCACACACUGAUCUUGUAAGGACCCAAGUUCAGUUCCCAGCACCCAUGUUGAACAGCUCAUGGCAGCCUAUAACUCCAGCUCCAGGGGAUCCAACACCUUUAUCUGGUCUCCUGGGGCAUCUAUAAUCACAUGAACAUACACUGUACACACAAGUAAAAAUCAAAUGAAUCUUAUAAACAAGUUAAAACUAAAACUUGAAUUUCCUAAACUAACCCAAGAGACCAAUACCUAUAGAUUAGGUAGGUGGGGAUAUAUUUUUUUUUUCCUGAGACAGGGUCUCACUGUGUAGCUCUGGUUGUCCUGGAACUCACUAUGCAGACCAAGCUGGCUUUGAACUCACAGAGAUCCAUCUACCUCUGCCUCCUGAGUCCUAGGAUUAAAGGCAAGUGGCCCUCCACCUGGCUAGGCGGGUGUUUUUCUGCAGCAGCCCAGUUAGUUGUAAUAUAGAGGCCUGGGAGCCCCUUGUGUCCCAGGGACUGCCAUCGCCUGCUGUCUGUUACCAAGAUACUCUAGAGCGCUGUCCAGAAUCGGCAGUCUCGGCCUUCACUCCUUCGCCCUUCGCACGAUCAGACUCAGAAUCAGCCAUGGGUUGGUGCACACUUACCUUUCAGACAAGCCCAAUUACAGGUGCAGCCUGUAAAAAAAUGGAAGCAGACGAAGGACUCAGCCUUCGGCACACGGCUCCGCAUCCACGCUCUCUCUGCUUGCCCAGGAUGCUUUCUCCCAUCAUCAGGCAAGAGCCCCCAUGCCCUUGUGCUACUGGCUCUGGCCCAGGUCUAAGUGACCCCUGGCUCACAGAUCUCUCUUUUAGGACUUCAGGAUCCUGGCUGCAGGGAAGAGCCCUGAGGCCCUAGGAUGCGCUCUACAAUGCACCCGCCACCACCCACACACAGUCUCACUGCUCCGGAGUCUCCAGAGUCUCUGCUCUCAUUCUGCAGGACACACGCAUGCGUACGUGAACCUACUCUGUGAAAUGCUCAACACGCCUUAACGGUGCCUGGGCACACAUAGUCACACACUGUCCCUUUUCCUGUGGUUGAUACCAUCGUUUUCUGUGGUCUGAACUUCCUAGGACACCUUCAGCAGACCCUGGGGAUUUUCAUGGUCAACUCUGAAGGGGUCAGGCUGGGAGAGAGCAUGAAAUUGCUGAGCACACAGGUCAGGGCGCCCCGGAUGAGGCACACCCAGCCCGCCCUCACCUGUCCUGUCCCCCUUCGGGUGACUGAUAUUGGAGGAGGGUUGCUCCUCCUCCCAGUUCUUAGGAAUAUCUUCCCUUCAGGCCAUCAGGAGUUGGCUUGGUUUGGGAACCAAACAGAAGUGCUCUAACCCAAAGAAAAGAGAAAUUAUGGGUUGAGGAUCCCUUAUCAAAAAGGCCAGGGACCGUGUAGUCCCUAGUGUUUGGAAUCCAGAGUAGUUCAGAUUUUGGAAUAUUUGUAUGGGCUUUACCAGUGGACCCAAAAUGCUCCAAAAUAAAAACUUUUUCCCAGCAGUCUCUCCUGAGACAGGAGGAUCACUUGAAUUCAGGAGUUCAAGGCCAGCCUUGGCAGCAGAGCAGGACACAAUUCUCUUUUAAAAGUUUCAAAAUUCAGAGUGCUUUGAAAUUGAAUGUGCUCAGCCUUUGCCAGCACGGAGUCCUCUUUCUUUCUUCUUUCACUGAGGAUUUUCUUGCGCAUUUAGUUAGGGUUUCUGUUGCCGCGAUAAAACACCAUGACCAUACACAACUUGGGGCGGAAAGGGUUUAUUUCACCUUACGGCUAAUAGUACGUCACUGAGGGAAGCCGGGACAGGAACCUGAAGGCAGAAACUGGAAAAGAAGCCAUGGAGGAGUGCUCCUUAUUGACUUGCUCAGACUGCUGCUGUCUUAUACCACUCAGGAUCAUCUGUCCAGGGGUGGCCCCACCCACAAUCAGCGGGGCCCUCCCACAUCGAUUGCUAAAGAGGAAAAUGCGCUGUAGUCUUCUCAACUGAGAGCCCCUCUUCCCAAACGACUCUAGCUUGUGUCAAGCUGACGUAAAGCUAGCCUACACAGAUACCUACCAUGCCAAGCCCCGGGUUAAAUAUUAGCCGCUAGGUUUAAAAUUAAACAAGGGUGCAGGCUCGGGAAAUGCAUUCAGGGUAGACACUAACGCCGCCUCAGAAGAGCUUACGUCUUCCCCACGAUCGUGCCCUUUUACGUAGACCGAGAGAGACGUCUGUGUGAGGGACACAUCUUGGCGGGAAGUGUUCCUCCACAGCAACGCCACCUAGCAGGGUGGUAUCACCCAGGUAUGAGUUCCGAAGCCCUUUAAACACAGCCUCUUGGCCCCGCUCUGCACGCGGCUCUGUGGCUGCUCCUUUACAGACGAGGAACAGACACUGGGAAGUCCGCGUUCGUGUCCAGGCACCACAGGAAGAAGCGACACCAGCAGCUGUCCUCGGGUUCUGUCCGACGUCAGUGACAGACUGUGACAGCGAGGUCCCAGUUCUAGACAGGCUGGCCUUUACGAGGGAACCGGAAAACACGGACGAGGCCACUUCACCGGUGCCUCCGAGGGGCGUGUGAAUGACAAGUGCCACUCGGGUUGUGGACACAACGUGGGUCUGCCCGGGCCAGCAGCAAGGCUGUGUUGGUGGCCUCAACAGUCGUGGGAGGGAGCCGGCCAUCACCCUGUGGGCAUAAGGAUGAACUAGACACGGCUUAAGUACUCAAUGUGGAUUAAUUUACUAAAAAUGCACAUCUCAGCAACAAGCCCCGAGGAGGAGGAGGAGGAGGAGGAAAGUGUGGAAGUGGCUGCAGUCUUCCUGUCCUUUUGGCCUGAGCCUUAGCCUCUGGUGGCUGGGACGUCUCUCCAGACUACAGCUGCUGUCUUCCACAGCUCCUUCCAGCAAGAGCUGAGGUCUCUUUGCUCAGUCCCGGGUUUGGCCUGUUUGUGACUUGUUGGCCGGCUGUGACUUGUUGGACCCCGAGUGUGUGGCAGAAGUGAGCGUGUGCCAUUUCCAAGCCUGGGGUCCAAGAAGUCCAGGUUAGCUUUUGCACUGCCAUCCUUGCCGUGGGAAGAAGCCUGAGCUAGACCGGCCUGUUGCGAGGGGCAUAUGUCGCUUUGGGUGACAGCUAGCCAGGCAGCAGUUGUGUCCUGCCCGCGCACCAUGGACACACCAGCAAGCAGCAGCAGGGCCAGGCUGGAAGGCCCCCAGCUGGCCCCCAGACGCUGGAGUGAAUCCAUGUUUACUGUCUGAAGCCACAGAGUUUCAGCCGCUGGAUAGUCUGCUUUGGGGCAAUAUAGAACUAAUCAAACAGGAAACACCUCAAGGAGAAGGAAGGGUGACGUUGGAGGAAUUCCCACCAGACACUGUGGAGGAAGAGGAACCUUUGGCUGGGAAAAGAGGGACGGAGAGGGAAGGUGGGGAGGAGAAGCCGGCCUGAGGUGUGGGGAGAAAUUCCAGGUGGAGAGAGGAAGCUGAACAGGAAGUGGGGUGGUACUGACCUGGGAAGACAGCCUCAGGCAACGCAGGCGGCUGCUCCGGCAGACAGAAUUACUCAUUUGGCCAUAAAGGACCUGAUGAGAGGGACCCCAACGGAUCCCACUGGAGUCCUGAGCGCCGUAGGCGGGGUCCAGACAAGCCAGUGGGCUACUGCAGGGCUCUGGACCAUGACAAGAGUGUUGAGUCUACAUGUCAGUGACUGAGCACCAGAAAAGGAGAGAACUGGUUAGUACAAGGGACAAGCAGACUCAAAGCCAGCAGGAGAGAGAGAGAGAGAGAGAGAGAGAGAGAGAGAGAGAGAGAGAGAGAGAGAGAGAGUGUGCUGGGGAUCUUCCUGCUGCACUGGUAUUUGAAGUAGAAAGAUGAGUAAACGUCACUGUUAAAUGUCAUCACCACAGAGCACACCCAUGUGGUCCAAGCUACUCCCCAGGGUGGUGUGGAAGGAUUGAUUGAGCACAGGAAUUCAAGGCCAGCCUAGUCAGCACAGCAAGACACCUGCAUUUGAAAAGAAACCGAACUGCAGAUAAAGGGGUGCUGCUGUGUCGGUAAGAUUUCAGGCAUCCGUUAAAAAUGGAGCAAGGAGCUGGGCAUGGUGGCACGCCCCAUUAAUCCCAGCACGUGGGAGGCAGAGGCGGGUGGAUCUCUCAGUUCGAGGCCAGCCUGGCCUUCCGGGACACCCAGGACUAAA